rnacentral:rRNA from 1 species
AUUGAACGCUGGCGGCAUGCCUUACACAUGCAAGUCGAACGGCAGCAUGAUCUAGCUUGCUAGAUUGAUGGCGAGUGGCGAACGGGUGAGUAAUACAUCGGAACGUGCCCUGUAGUGGGGGAUAACUAGUCGAAAGAUUAGCUAAUACCGCAUACGACCUGAGGGUGAAAGUGGGGGACCGCAAGGCCUCAUGCUAUAGGAGCGGCCGAUGUCUGAUUAGCUAGUUGGUGAGGUAAAGGCUCACCAAGGCGACGAUCAGUAGCUGGUCUGAGAGGACGAUCAGCCACACUGGGACUGAGACACGGCCCAGACUCCUACGGGAGGCAGCAGUGGGGAAUUUUGGACAAUGGGUGAAAGCCUGAUCCAGCAAUGCCGCGUGUGUGAAGAAGGCCUUCGGGUUGUAAAGCACUUUUGUCCGGAAAGAAAUGGCUCUGGUUAAUACCUGGGGUCGAUGACGGUACCGGAAGAAUAAGGACCGGCUAACUACGUG